rnacentral:rRNA from 1 species
AUGAGCCGGAGCGGCGUCUGUGCAAGCUCGUGCAUCGCGGCGGAGUACUCGGCGAGGGAGCUCCAUGCUUCCCGGCUUGUCCGGCCACUGCCGGACGUGCUCGUCGGUGACGGGGUGGCAGGUGAUUUUGAGGUAGUCGAGCCAAUAGCGGUCUUGAUGAUCUUGACGACGAUCAUGUGGCGCUGGCGAUCGUCGGAGAUGGCGGCAUGGUGGAGGUCAAUGACCGACAUGGCUACAUCGAAGCUGGGUCUGUUGUUGAGGAGUGAAGGGCGCUUCUCUGGGAUGCGCCUGCGCCUACAACCAGGUGACCCGCGAGUGCUCCACUCCACCGGCGGCCUCACGAGCUUCGCGAUGUCAGCCAACACCACCGACGGCAGGAUGGAGCUCCUCCCGGAAGAGUCGUUCGCCGUCGUCGGCGCGUGCGCGCCGGGCAGCCUGCUGAGGUCGCUCCCCGCGGGCGCCACCGGCAUUGCGGGGUUAUCUCGGCGCCCUCGCUCGCUGCCAUCGCAGUUCGCCGCACAACGCGGUUUCGGAGCUAAGUUCGUCCCGUGCCUCCCCGACUUCGCGACCUUGGGCUACGGCGAUGGCAUCUCUGUGUCGUGGCGUGAGGCCGACGCUCCAGCGACCCUGAUUCGCGGCGCGCUCGACCUCGACGCUGCCACGGGCCGCGACGGCGUCGUGCUGAGCACCGCCAUGUCGUACAUGAUCAUGCGUCCCGACGUGUUCCGCGCGUUCGCCAAGGCAUUCGACCUUGCCAUUACCAGGUACCCAUCCUUUCAUCAUGAACCACGGCGCUAUCACAGGCAAGGGGAAGAAUCCGACGAGCACGAUGAAGCGGGUGGUGCCGGCGCCGAAGCCGUUCGAGCUACAUUUCUGCUCCGGUGCUACCCCCUGGACUGA